rnacentral:lncRNA from 1 species
CAUAUAUUUAAUUAAUAAAUACAAAAUAAAAUUUUGCAUUAAAUAUUUUAAAAAAAAAUUUCACACAGUUUUCAUCUCAAUUAAAACGCUAAAUUCAGUUUAUAAAUUUCUUCUCUCAAAAACCAAACAAAACCAAAUUAAAAAGAAUAAUCAAAUAAAAAAUAUAUUACAAUUAUUUUUAAUAAAAUCAAAUAUUUAAAAAAAUUAAUUUUAUUUCAAUUAGAAUAAAAUAGUUGAGAAAAUAAAAAGUUAUCAAAAUUUUUAAAUUAUGUGAUCCAUUCUUAUAUUAUUCUUACAAGUUUAUAUUUUUAAGUUAUGUGAUCCAUGUAAAUUUAAAUUUUCGUGACUUUCGUAUACCUUAUUAUUAAAUAUAAUUAAACAAAUCUAAAUUUAAAUCAUUCUAAUAUUUUAUAUACUUUAUAAAUUCUUUGAUAUUAAAUAAUUUUUUUAUAAUUUUUCACACACCUUUAAAUUUAUUAUCUUGAUUAAAUUAUAGUAAGAAUUUUAAUAUAUUAAUUAAUUUUUUUAAAAAUAAUUUAUUACAAACUAAUGUUGAUUCAAUUAAAAUAAAACGGCUGAGAUAAUAAAAUUUAUCAAAUUUUUAAAAAUAUGUGUUACAUAUCACUUGUUAGAAGAAUGGUAAUUUUGUAAAUUACGUUUAAGUAUUAUAAAAUUUAUUUCAAACUCUUUAGAUACCUUAUUAGUAAAUUAACUUUUAUAUUAAAUAAGAAAACCUAAAUUUAAAUCUUUUCAUAUUCUCUAUUAAUCAAUAUAUUUGGGAAAAUCUAAACUCAGGUCUUUUCACAUUCUCUAUUAAUAUAUUACAUUAAAUAUCUUUCGUGACAUUUCAUAUACUCCAAUUGUAAAUAUAAUCUUUUCCGCAUUAUAUUAUCCUCUUUCAAAAUUUCACCCAUAACUCCACUUACCACCCUUCUCUUGCAAUUCUCCAGGUGAAAUCUAUUCGUCUCUGUAAACUGUAAUACACUGAACUUUGGCAAAUUGCGAAGUUCGAGUGUGGGGAUGACAAGUGGAACUAUCCUACAUGUUCUAAAGGGUUUAGAGAGGGUUGUGGAGGAGUUUGAGGAUGUUUGGAGCGCAGGAAGUGAGAAAGUGCAUUACUCCU